UACAAUCACAACUAAUGUUAUUUCUUUUUACUUCUUUAAGGAGGGUGUUGUGGAAAAAUAAUUACAUUCUGUAGUGAUCUUUGUUUUCUCCUAAAACGAUGUGACUAAAGACAAGAGUAAAGUAUUUUAUUUGUAGAGGACCAUCAUGCAUGCUUUCCAUCUACCAUUAGUAUAAGGAAUUCUGCUUCCUAUGGACUACAUUGAUAAUGUGUCUCCAUGGAUGCAUUCCAGAGUAGAGUCAUUGGGAAAUCUACUGGAUGUUCAGCUUUUCUAAACUAUAAGGGAGAUUCUGCACUGAACCUUUGUCCAUGUAUCUGACCAACUUGCUAGAUGGCCAGAAGGCACAGGGCUGGAAAAAAGGAAACUGCCCUAUCAAGCAAACUGUGGGUAGGUGCAGUCUCUGUGAUUUGAUUCUUAUGAUUAUCUCCUGGUAUUUGUUAGGUGACGUUUCCCAGCAAUGUUGCUUUUUUUUUAAGAGAUGGAAACAGGACAACAAAGUAAGGAAAACUGAAGCCUCUGUUCAGCUCUGAUUUGGUUGGUAAUUACAAAUAAUUUGCUUGUCAUGGCCAUGAGAGAUAUGAGGAUGUGCCCUAAAGGAUUCUAGAAGCUGUCAAAAAUUGCAAGCAUUUUAAUGACCUGUAAAGUUGUAUUGUGAAAGAACUAUCGUAUGAGGUUAUUUUCCUUAAAAACAAAAUUAAUUUGAAAGAUGCAAUACAAUUCCUCUCCUCUCUUUUCUAGCAUGCAUUAUAUUUUAUAAUUCAUUAGUCUCUGUCUGCAGAAAAUAGAAAUUGCUGUAGGGAAGUUUAAGGUAUGUACAUGGUGCUAACUUUUGUUGUUGAGACAGUGUGUGAAAAUGCUCUCUGGAGUGUGAAAUUCUCUAAUAGAACCUAUCAGAAUAUAAACUUACUUGCAUAUCAUCACAAAAUAUGUGAAAAUAUAUUUUUUUGGAUGUUGCUGUUGAUUUUUUAAAAUUCUUUGUGUUUAUUACAAAUAGAAGUAUUUUAGAAAAGCUCUAAUGGAUUCUGAUAGCUUCUAUUUUGUGACAAUUGAGAUUAUCUUCAUAAAUGCAUACAUAGUCUAGGGUUAUAUCACAAAAAUAUGUCAGCUACCUACUAUGAAUUAAGAUGGUGCAUAAGCAUAAGCAUUUUGAGUCUUCAGGUUUAGAAAUAAAUUUAUGUUUUGAUAUUAGUGUCUUUCUCAAUAAAUUUUGUUUCAUAAACAAUAUCAAGCUAUAUCAUUUUCUAGGUCUUGUGAAUUAGCUAUCAAAGAUGCAAAGCAAAGAUAUAUAUAAAAAUUAGUACUAAUGGCAUGCAGCCUUUCCAUGGGCAAAAUCUACUGAAACAUAUUUGUUGUGACAUGUAAUUUCUUCAGUGGAAGUCAAGAGUUAAGAUUGCUGCUUUAGAUCAGCUGAAAACUACCUUUGGUCAGCAGAGGAUUGGAACAUAUGGACAAGAUAUAUGUAGGACAUCUGGUAGGAUUUUAUUUUAUUUUACUUAUUAUUUUAAGUUAUUAUAUUUUAAACGAUGUCUGAAUGGAUGUUGAGAAACUAUUCUUCUUAAUUCUAUAACACACCAAGUCAGGACUCUGACAGCUACAUAUACGGUCAAGUCUUUGCUUCCUGUUCCUGUAUUUUACCUGUUCCAGAGAUUAGGAGUUCAGUUUUGAUGACAAUCUACUGAGUUUUAGAAAAAAAUAAAUAAAAAAUUCAGGGUGUCAUUUGUUUCCCAGUUCUCACUGUUGCAGUGAAUCCAAAAUUCUCUGUUUUAUCUUCUUAACAAAUACCUUCUCAAUGCAUUUGGGAGUAGCACAAUGAUACCUGACAACCAUUUAAGAAUAAAUACCUGAGAUUAAUCUAUUUAUUCUUUCUAGAGAAAUAUUCUGCUUCCUUCUGUUCUUUUAAAUAAUUAACUUACUAUUCAAGCAAAAUUUAACUAAAGCCUUAUUUCCCUGACUUUCUAAUUAGAGAGGCCCAAUGAUACACAGAAGCCUUUCAGUUUUACUUCAUGAAUAAAUGAAUGUUCUCUACUCUUUCAGAUAAUCCCAAGCCUUACAACACUUUGGUAUAAUGAUUUCAGUGAAUAUACUGUCAGUACUGAUGGCAUAGAUGAUUACAAAGUUUUCUCUUCAAGAUACAUAAAAGGCAGUUUGGGUUCAUGAUCUGUCAGUAGCUUGUAUUUAAGGUCCCCUCCUGUAUGUUUCCUUCAUGCAUGGCUGAUUUUGAAGUAUUUUUUUUCUGUAUGUUAUUAAAAAGCAAAUGUUGCUGCCAUUUAUUCUCUCUCUCUCUGUCUCUCUCUCUGUCUCUCUCUGCACCUCUCUCUCUCUUUUUCCAGAGUAUAUAAAUCAGCUACUAUGUGAGGGAGACAGGAUGUGUUUGCAAGUUAAAAGCUUUCAUGCAGCAUAAAGGAAUGACAAUGUCACUUCUCUAGCUGGAAAGACUAGUAAAGGACAUCAGUUUUCAAAAACACUGCAGCUGUUUUCAAAUAAAGAAACACAUCAAGACAGAUUUAUAAGGCGGGGGAAGAACAUUCAUACCAUUCAAAUGAGAAAAAUAACUUCAAAUAGUAUCUUUGCAUCAUACACAGUACAUCUAACCAGAGCAUAAAACUUGCAAUGAGCUUUUUAGUUAAAAGCAUACAGCUAAAUAUGGGUAUAUUUAGGGGUAAAUACAUUUGAGGUCUUACCUCAAAUGGAAGGAAGUAGUUAACUGUAUAGCAGGAGUAAUGUUAAACUGCUGUUAGCACUAUCUAUUUGCUUUUACUCCCACGAAUACCCCUAUGACUAUAGGGUAUCUUGCAGCCAAAUGCCCCAUCUCAGUGAUCACUGGAGUCUGCAUAGUAAAGCUGGAUGUGUAGAAAAUGUAGAGUGUUGUAAUUCUUAGCCUGAAGCUAAGCACAGCAUGCUGCAUACAUUACUGUGCUGCCCUGCCUAAAACAGAAGAAAUUAGACCAAAUACUAACUAAAGGCCCUAGUUUAGAACAGCAAAAAGUGAAAAAGCCUGAAGUGCCAGCUCCUGACUAUAGCAGUUUAGUUGUGAUGCAGUAGUGUUAAUAUAAGCAGGGUUAUCUAAAAAAUAUGAGUGACAUGAGGGAGUACAUGUAUUAGACCAAAUGAUAUAGCUGGAAAAUGUUCCAGGACACACAAGUUUUUCUGAUGUUGUUACCUAGGAAUUCAAACAACACAGAAUCUGAGGAGGAAAUCUCAAGCUCUCAACUUCAUUACAAGCUCAAUGCCUUUUUAUUGAGAUCUGUUAUAAUGUGGCCACAGCUCCAACAGCUCUAAUAUGAGAGCGCGCUGCAUACAUAUCCUGUGGAGAAACAUGCAGUGUUGUUGUGCUCUAUGAUUCAUGUUGACUCCAGGUGAACCAAACAUUUACACAGGUUAAUGUUCUAUGACCUGUUAGUUUCUUUUAUUAUUCUUCAAGAGAACUUUCUACCAAAGUAGCAAAUCCACAAUUUACCUGUUUGAGCUCAGUUUUGGGAGAGGUGUGAUAUGUAAGCAGUCAAUAGAUACCAGGUUUUCUUUUUAAAGUUUUAUUUUGUUUGUUUGUUUUAGAGAAGAUGAAAGGCAGUAAGACAACAGAAAGAGAGGAUUUUGUUGCUUUUUUUUUUUCUUCCAGACAUGCAAGUAUGCCCAAGAUGCAUGACUCAGCUGUGUUUCUUUGCUUAUCUUUCUAGUUUAUGACAAGCCAAUUUAUUCACUGCCAAUCAGAUCAUCCCAUCACAGCAGUCUGUGAUGCUGUUAAGUCAUCACUGGGCUAGCAAAUACUGGUUUAGUUCUUGCUUGCUGACCUGUUUACCUCUAUCCAAUUUGCCUCAGUUUAAAGAGAAGACUAAGGUAGUAACAGCAUCUACUGCCCUGAGCAAGAGGCUGUUUAUCUUGACUGCUAAUUCAGAAGGGGAAAAAGUGAUGAAAAAAGCUCUUGAAGACAUUUUCCUAGAGAUUUGUAUGAGGAGCUUAACACUGGAAGAAUAACUUUCCAGAAAGUCUGUUACCAAUACAGCAACACUGAAGCAGGGAGGAAUAGGAAUACUGAUAGGAGUGGGAAAAAGUUGGACUUUUGUGGAAUUAGGAAGGACUGAGAUCUGUAAAUGGUCACCUAACUAGAAAUGUGGUAACGGGAAAUAUACUCUUUGAUUUCAUAAUCUCUUAGGGAAUUUAUGUAAGGAAAGAUGGCUAUGAUGCUGAAAACAGCUGCUGUGGGAAAGCAGACAGACCUGAUUUCCCUUGCAUCUCCUCCCAGAGUUGUGCAGUAGCCUCAUGGAAAUAUAUUUAAGCUUUCCUCUUCACCUAUUGUCCGAGGGGAGAAAAGCUCUUACACUAUCAUGCUUGUAUGGGUGAGACAGGCACAGACUUUGGGUUAUCUCCACACAGGUUUCUGUUUUCUCUUUCAGCGUCUGUUGGCUGUCCUGUUUUCUCAGAAGCAAAUAUGUGGUUAUGGUGGCUGACUUAGUCUUGCAUGGUCAGACAAUGCUCCAGCUCAUUUUGACCUUUGAUAAAAUGAAUCAUGUCAUAUGUUUCAUAUGUGCCCUUUGUAGAUAUGUUAUAGAUAUCUAUCUGUCAGAGACAUAGAGAAAAGGGCAAGACAAAAUAAUAACUGAUAUUAUCAGCAACACUAGAAAGAGAAGAUACAUAUAUAUAUUUAGUUUUUUCAUCUACACAUGAUUUUUUCUGAGAUAGUAGAACAAAUGUAUUGCUUGCAAAAUACACAACCCAUUUUUCUUUCAGAAGUAAGUCAAGCAACCAAAGGAAAAACUUAUAAGCCAUGAUACACACUAUCUCUUUUUUUAAUCUCCUUCCUAUAUGUGCUGCAACUAAGACUUUCAGUGGUUCAGUUUCUGGAAAAUUCAUCAUCUGUCUUGACUAAAGCAGCAUAAAGGCUUCUCAGCAAUUAUUUAAGACCAGAGUGCUGAGUUCAGCUUUUACGUAAACAGCAAUUCUGAAAUUUAUAUUAAAUGGAAGCAGGAAAAAAAAAAAAAAAAAAAAAAAGAAAAAAAGGCAUAAGCAUAACCUAAGAACAACAUUUACAUUGCUUUCUAAGAAAAAUGAUUAUAGGUCAGCAACAAUCUGAAUUCUGUGCUGUUCUGGGAGGAAAUUUGCCAGUUAUUUAUCCAACAGCGAAACAAAUGUUUCUACUAAUGACUUGAGCAAAAAGGCAUCAAAUUCUGUAUAAAUCUGUUAUUAUUAGUGUAAGUUCAGUUGGGUUGAGUCUUGAAAAGAACAGCUUUUCAAAGGUAAGCACAAAGCAUAUGUAAAUAUGUGAAUUGACCUUAAUAAAUAAGAGGCCAAAUGUCUUAAUAAAUAAGGUGCCAAACUGGUGAUUGCAUUAGUAGUAUUUCUAAGGUACUCUGCAUGUUGCACACACAAGUUCAUGUAUCUUCCAUGAUGUUGUGCUUCCGUAACUGUACAUUUAAAAAUAAAUAAAUAAAAUCAUUUAUUAGGUCUAUACAAAGUGGUUCCAAUGCUUUAUCGGGUCUGAGUAUGCGUAUCAUCACAUCUCUGCUCUACAGGGGGAUAUGACCUGCUGUGCACCAGCUUAUCUCUAGCUGUUUAGCAGGCUUUUCCUCCUGUACCUCUCAUUUUCCUGGAAAUAAGGCUGGACACACAGUGUAUGUAGAAACAUGUACCCACUCUGUCUGGAAUUAAUUUCUGUAUUUCAGAAAGGUGUUCAAUUUUAAGAAACUUUCCAUAAACUCUAGAAAUAAAACUCUAUAAUAAUAAAAUAAUAAAACUUAGAUAAAACUCUCUGGUCCAGUAAUCCAAAUGGAGAGAUUGAUUUUUCCUUUAAAGAAGAAACUGCAACAGGUGAAAAGACACAGUUUUAGUGCUGCAAUCAUUAAAUACCUCACUAGACAACUUCUUAUCUUAUUGCCUUCAUCACCAAUUGCCACUUCUCACUAGCUGAAACUUGUGGUCCUGUUUAACAUGAAAUAAAAAAUAUUCUGUGCCUGGAGGAUGGCCAGGUGAUGACUUCUUAAUUCAUAAGUGGAAUACAAUGUAAAUGGAAUGUCUCUCUAUUUUCAGACUUCAGCUUUAGAUUAUUUUUUGUCUUCAGUGUCUUAAAAACAAUGUCUGUGUCUUAAAACAACUAAAUAAUUUAAGUUUUGAAAUGGAACUAACCUCCAAAGUAUGAGACAUAUGGACUAACAAAUAAUAAAAAUCUAAUUAUUGUAAGCACUGUAAGCUGACAGAACAAAUUUUAAAAAAUUGUUUUCUGUAAUGUUGUGGUAAUAACAACAUCUGGUAUGAAUAUUUUUCAUCAAGGGUCUUAGUGCUCCCAUUCCUAAUCUCAGAUUGAAUACAAUAUUUCUUUUGAAAAGAGCAUUAUAUAACCAUAUUUAUUUAUUUAUUUCCCCCAGAGAGAGAAACGUAUCAUUUAUUUGCCUAAUGUCAGAAAGGAAGCCUAAAGAAAAUCCAGAGAAUAACCCUACUCUUGCAUAACUCGCCUUUACCAAUUUGUCACGUCUUUGAACAAACAUUUAAAAAUUUGCUUGACUGCUAACUCAGAAGUGGAAAGAAUGUUUUUAGGAAAGCUGUAUUUUGACCCAGAGAAAUUACUCUAUUUUUUUGUAACCAUUUAAAACAUUAUAUUAUUUUACAUGGUGGUGUGUACACCAAACACAGAAAGUGAGAAAGUCUGGCAAAUGAUCUGUUUCAUAAAGAAACAGAUUAUAUGUAUCCUAAUCUAUGGAGAAAGAAAAAUGUGAGUAAUGCAGAUAUGCAGGAUUUGAUUACUCCAGUUUUCUUCAUAUCAGAAAGAAAUAAAACAUGUUCAAAUAGGUACUGCACUUGACUUUUUUGUUUUACAGGUCAUAUAGCUUAAUUGCUGGAAGAAAGGAAUAUUUAGCCAAUUUUAAGCAACAUUAGACAGAAAAAAGCUUCUUAGUUGUGUAAUGGACACUCCAAAACAGACCAAGCCACAAGCCUCUCUUAGCCUGGGGAAACCACAGAUUUUUGCCAGGAUAGUGGACACUAAAGAUGUUGCUAAAGCCAAAAGUAUGAAACCUGGCAAUAAGUGAAAGAACUGACCAGUUCUGUUUCUGUUGAAGUAGGAACGAUUAUGUGGAAUAUGGGAGAAGACUAAGUCUGUGACAGAUUUAAAACAGUUCCCUAAAAGUAUUUGGUAUUUUACAUGAAAAUGGCACAUCAUUAGGCACAUUUUUACUAUCACAUCAUUAGUAUUUUUACAAUUUGACAUAUAUUAACAAUUCCACUGAUAUUUUCACUUAAUGUCUUUGUGAUGUAUGAAUUCUUUCUUCAUGGAAGCCAUCAUAUCCUUAAUGCUAUAUAUUCCAUAUCAAGAACGAUUCUUUCAUGCUAAUAACAGAAAUCUACCUAACAAUAGGUUUAUAUGAAUUAUGAAUUUCUGAUAUAGCAUUUAACCUGCUCAGCUUUCUAUUUUGUGUGCAUUUAUGAGCCUAUCAGAGAUGUUGAGUAGUACAUUAGUUAAUGCUGAAUGUCAUAAGACCUUCUACAGCUAAUGGUUCUUUUCUUGGCCAUGGAAAACAGUUUUAAAAUCAAGACUUUUUGUGGGGUUAUAAAAUUCAGGAAAAGCUGAUUUGGGCUGAUAAAGAUGCUUUAAUUUAUGCUCUGAUAUCAAGGAGUGAUAUGAAGUAAGUGAGCAAGUAUACACAAUUCUCAGUGGUUUUAAAGGGGAACAAUUUUGUCAGCUGUGCUUGAGCAAUUACUUGCAGAACACAAUCGUUUGUUUGUUUGUUUUGUUUUUGUUUUUUGUUUGUUUUAAAACACCACCUAGAGUAUAUUUGCACAUAACUUUUGCUGAAGUGAAGAACUAGAAUUAUAUCUUUUAACACUCUGGACCCCCUUGGAGAAACUUUAAUGUAAGUACCUCCAAGAUACAAAAAGUGUUUUAAAUCAUCAGCAAUCAGUAGAAAAGAUAAAGUGCAAUAUACAACUUCUAGUACCAAGGAAAUUACCUUAGUUCUCUGUCAUCUAUAGUAACAUGUUAAUUUGCAAAACAAAUUUGGUGCUUUUUCAACAAACAUCAUUAUCACAGGUAGUAAUAACAGUAAUGAUGAUCUUUGAGAAGUUAAGCUAAGAAAUAAGGAAUCUUGUUUGUAAAAAUAGAAUUUAAACUUUUAAACAGUUGAUUUUAUUCUGCACACAGCAAUUACUCCCGUCGUCAGCAGGAUGAAAAUUUACUACCCCAGGAAGUCAUAAAGACUCUGAUGCAUUCUUACAAAACACAGCGUGAGCUGCAUCCGAAUUAGACUCUUUUCCAACAGCUUCACCCUCCCCUAUACUACACUGCAUUAAUGCUUACAUCUGCUACAUACUGUUGGGGGCUUUUGCACAUUGCAGAGCCAGAUGAAGCUGAACACCAGCCCUCUCUAUUAUUAUUUCAAGCUUGGAAAUAUUUUCUAUCUAUUUUAAUCAAGGGCAUUUUCCAUUGUUUUACAAAACACAUUAAGAUGUGAUUUUGGCAAGACCAUGUUUCUCCAAUGCCAAAAUAGCCAAUAGAGAAGAUUGAAAGUUUUACUAUGCCUCUUAUGAAUAAUCUGACAAAGUUAUGAAACGGAAGCUCACUUGCCGCCCAUAACAAGGACUACUCUUCUUGUGAAGGUGAAGAAUAGGAGAAAACACACCAUGAGGAUGUUGAGAAUUUGGAGUGAUCUGUCUGCAAUGAUGCUACUCGCUGACCUGCUUCUCAAGUUCUCCAAGACACUAUUUUAGUCCUACAAAACAUCCUGGGCACAUAAAUCCAAUGGCAGCCAAUUUGGAUUUAAAAUAAAUAAAAUUGUUCCCAUUCCUUGCCCUGUGUCCAUUCUGUAUCACAUUUCUGCAAGUUCAUGUGUAUGGAGAAGCUAAGUUGACAGAAAUAAAAAAUAAAAUUCUUUUAAAGUAGUCAAAAAGAUAUACAGAAAAAGGUUCUGUGAGCAUGAAAUACAAUCAUCUAUUUCCUUUCAGUGUCAGAUGAAUGUUUCGUAUUGAACAUAUUUUAGGAUGCUUUUCUGUUCUGACAAACUGAACAACAGAGAUUAGUGAUUGAUCUCUUUGAAUUACCUGUAUAGAUAAAUAUUCUUGCAGGUUCCAAGAGAUAAGUCAGAGUAUUCUGGUAUGGCACAUCAUCAAAAGGAAUUAUAGAUUAAACAAAUAGUUAUGCAGUCUUUUUUUUCCUGGCCUUUUACUAUAGAAAUGUAUGUUUAUUCAGUGAAAUCUUCUUUUCUGCUCAUUGAUUGUUCAACAUUUCUUGUAAAGUUGUUAGUUUUAUU